rnacentral:misc_RNA from 1 species
GAUGAAGAACGUAGUGAAAUGCGAUAAGUAAUGUGAAUUGCAGAAUUCAGUGAAUCAUCGAAUCUUUGAACGCACAUUGCGCCCGUCAGUAUUCUGGCGGGCAUGCCUGUUCGAGCGUCAUUACGCCCCUCAAGUCCCCUGUGGACUUGGUGUUGGGGAUCGGCGAGGCUGGUUUUCCAGCACAGCCGUCCCUUAAAUUAAUUGGCGGUCUCGCCGUGGCCCUCCUCUGCGCAGUAGUAAAACACUCGCAACAGGAGCCCGGCGCGGUCCACUGCCGUAAAACCCCCCAACUUUUUAUAGUUGACCUCGAAUCAGGUAGGACUACCCGCUGAACUUAAGCAUAUUAAUAAGCGGAGGA